rnacentral:lncRNA from 1 species
AAAGAAGCGUUUUUCUAUUAUAUAAAAAAAAACCUUCAAAUACCAUGCACUUUUUUACUUUAGUACCAUGUGGUUUAAAGUGCAUCAAUUCAGUACCCUGUAGUUUCGCACUUUCUCACUUUAGUACCCUGUAAUUUAAAGCGCAUCAAUUUAGUACUCUAUGGUUUCAUUUUUUUUUCUUUUCGUCGGCUCCUCUAUCAAUAUUUUAUUAAAUUAUAUACAUAAAACUUCAGAUACCCUACCUAGGUUUAUUGAACAUUUACUUUAGUACCUUUUAGUUUUAACUUUGUCACUGAUUUUUUUUACUCUGUUAAUAAAUAGAUAAUAAAAAGAGAAAAAUNAUUGAACAUUUACUUUAGUACCUUUUAGUUUUAACUUUGUCACUGAUUUUUUUUACUCUGUUAAUAUUUCGUUAAAUUAUAUACAAAAAAUUUCAGAUACUUUACCUAAGCUUAUCGAAUAUUCACUUUAGUACUCUUUAAUUUUAACUUUGUCACUGAUUUAACAAAAAAAAUUAGUAAAAUAAAUAAUAAAAAGAGAAAAAUGAAACCACAGGGUACUAACUUGAUACACUUUAAACAACAUGAUACUAAAGUGAGAAAGUGCGAAAGUGCGAAACCACAGGGGCUAAUUUGAUACACUUUAAACCACAGGGUUCUAAAGUGAAAAAGUGUGAGACCACAAGAGGAGUAUUUGAAGUUUA